ensembl:rRNA 5S_rRNA 5S ribosomal RNA
CAUAAUAGCCAUAUCGCCCUGCGGCCCAAGACCGGUUACUCACUGAACCUAAGCAGGGCUGAGCCUGGUUAGUACCUGAAUGAGAGAGCAGAUGGGAAAACUAGGUUGCUGUUGGAA